AUGGGAAACAGGUUAAUAUUCCUGUACUUGGUGUUACUGCGAAGGGGGGACGGAGAAGGCUAUGUUGGCCGGGCGACGGUUGUCCCGGUUUAAGCGUGUAGGCUGGUUUUCCAGGCAAAUCCGGAAAAUCAAGGCUGAGGCGUGAUGACGAGGCACUACGGUGCUGAAGCAACAAAUGCCCUGCUUCCAGGAAAAGCCUCUAAGCAUCAGGUAACAUCAAAUCGUACCCCAAACCGACACAGGUGGUCAGGUAGAGAAUACCAAGGCGCUUGAGAGAACUCGGGUGAAGGAACUAGGCAAAAUGGUGCCGUAACUUCGGGAGAAGGCACGC
rnacentral:rRNA from 1 species